UGUGUGUGUGUAUGUAUGUGUGUAACUGGUAGACAAAGUCAUAAAAGACAAGUGUAAAAAUAAAUCCUCUUUUGCAACCCAAAACUCAGUGUUCAGUAUGCCUUUUGCUACAUAGACGAAUGAAUAUG
rnacentral:snoRNA from 1 species